ACCUAGCUGCAAGCACUGGGUGAUCUCCAUCAAGAAACCAGCUCCAUCUCCAGUAGGAGAUGGGUUCUUUCAGCUCAGCUAACCCAAGCUCCUAUCCCAGCUGGGCGUGAUGAGACCUGCCACUGCCUCAAGUUGCUUACGUCUGCAUGACAUGUACCACACAGAAGGGACUUGGGAGACUAUGGAGGGCACAGAAUGCUCCCUAGAACCAGCGAAAGAGCGUCCUGCCGUUGGAAGUAUUCAAGCUGAGAAAGCAUUGUCAAGCAGAAGAGAUCCUGCUCAAAAGGGGCGUUCUGCACGGAACAGGUGGCUGAACGGUGAACUCCAUGGUUUCCCGCUGCUGCGCAUAUUUUCCCUAAUACCAGCUCGAGGUCGCAGGGCAGCUGGGCGGUGUUAACCAUGCUCCAGUUUCUACAUUGCGCGGAAAACAGGAGAAGGGAGUGGCUUCGGAGCUCCGUUUUCCAUCGCCCUGGUAGCUGAAGGGAGACCAGCAGGAAGACGGGCGGACUGGGGAGGCUGUGGC
rnacentral:lncRNA from 1 species